AGUGGAUGGGGAGCAACCUAGUUGUGCGUGUGUAAAGGUAGUGCCAAGAAAAGCGAUGAUCAUGUUGAAAAUCAAUUCCCGGUACCCGAAACCGACACAGGUGGGCAAGUAGAGAAUACUAAGGGGCGCGAGGUAACUCUCUCCAAGGAACUCGGCAAAAUGACCCCGUAACUUAGGGAGAAGGGGUGCCACCGAGAGGUGGUCGCAGUGAAGAGGCCCAGGCGACUGUUUAGCAAAAACAUAGGUCUCUGCAAACUCGAAAGAGGAGGUAUAGGGGCUGACGCCUGCCCAGUGCCGGAAGGUUAAAGAAGUUGGUCAGUCUUAGGAUGAAGCUAGCGACUGAAGCCCCGGUGAACGGCGGCCGUAACUAUAACGGUCCUAAGGUAGCGAAAUUCCUUGUCGGGUAAGUUCCGACCCGCACGAAAGGCGUAACGAUCUGGGCGCUGUCUCGGAGAGAGGCUCGGCGAAAUAGGAUUGUCUGUGAAGAUACGGACUACCUGCAUUUGGACAGAAAGACCCUAUGAAGCUUUACUAUAGCUUGGAAUUGUGUUCGGGCUUCCUGUGCGCAGGAUAGGUGGGAGGCGUAGAAGGUAUUCUUGUGGGGAUACUGGAGCCAACGGUGAGAUACCACUCUCAGGAGGCUAGAAUUCUAACUUAAUUAAGGACAGUUUCAGGUGGGUAGUUUGACUGGGGCGGUCGCCUCCAAAAAGGUAACGGAGGCGUACAAAGGUUCCCUCAGACUGGUUGGAAAUCAGUCGAAGAGUGCAAAGGCAGAAGGGAGCUUGACUGCGAGAAGUACAGUUCGAGCAGGGUGGAAACACGGUCUUAGUGAUCCGACGGUGCUGUGUGGAAGGGCCGUCGCUCAACGGAUAAAAGUUACUCUAGGAUAACAGGCUGAUCUCCCCCAAGAGUUCACAUCGACGGGGAGGUUUGGCACCUCGAUGUCGGCUCAUCGCAACCUGGGGCGGAAGUACGUCCCAAGGGUUGGGCUGUUCGCCCAUUAAAGCGGUACGUGAGCUGGGUUCAGAACGUCGUGAGACAGUUCGGUCCAUAUCCGAUGUAGGCGUGAGGAUAUUGAGAGGAGCCUUCCUUAGUACGAGAGGACCGGGAAGGACGCACCGCUGGUGUACCUGUUAUGAUGCCAAUUGUAAACGCAGGGUAGCCAAGUGCGGAGAGGAUAACCGCUGAAAGCAUCUAAGUGGGAAGCCCACCUCAAGAUGAGUAUUCUGGUGUAAGGUCACGGGAAGACGACCCGUAAAUAGGCACGAGGUGGAAGUGCAGAGAUGUAUGAAGCCGAAGUGUACUAAUAGACCGUCGGCUUG
rnacentral:rRNA from 1 species